CAGUCUGCAUGGAGCCGGCCUUGAAAUACCACCCUUUAAUGUUUGAUGUUCUAACGUGGACCCGUGAUCCGGGUUGCGGACAGUGUCUGGUGGGUAGUUUGACUGGGGCGGUCUCCUCCUAAAGAGUAACGGAGGAGCACGAAGGUUGGCUAAUCCUGGUCGGACAUCAGGAGGUUAGUGCAAUGGCAUAAGCCAGCUUGACUGCGAGCGUGACGGCGCGAGCAGGUGCGAAAGCAGGUCAUAGUGAUCCGGUGGUUCUGAAUGGAAGGGCCAUCGCUCAACGGAUAAAAGGUACUCCGGGGAUAACAGGCUGAUACCGCCCAAGAGUUCAUAUCGACGGCGGUGUUUGGCACCUCGAUGUCGGCUCAUCACAUCCUGGGGCUGAAGUAGGUCCCAAGGGUAUGGCUGUUCGCCAUUUAAAGUGGUACGCGAGCUGGGUUUAGAACGUCGUGAGACAGUUCGGUCCCUAUCUGCCGUGGGCGCUGGAGAACUGAGGGGGGCUGCUCCUAGUACGAGAGGACCGGAGUGGACGCAUCACUGGUGUUCGGGUUGUCAUGCCAAUGGCACUGCCCGGUAGCUAAAUGCGGAAGAGAUAAGUGCUGAAAGCAUCUAAGCACGAAACUUGCCCCGAGAUGAGUUCUCCCUGACCCUUUAAGGGUCCUGAAGGAACGUUGAAGACGACGACGUUGAUAGGCCGGGUGUGUAAGCGCAGCGAUGCGUUGAGCUAACCGGUACUAAUGAACCGUGAGG
rnacentral:rRNA from 1 species